GGGGAGCAAAUGCGAUUAAAUGCGAUCUACAGGACUACAGCGACUGUCGAGCAAGUUUACUAUCGAAAAGCGCCACCAAACAGCCCGGUUAGGAACUCGGAAGCUAAAUUUGUCGGUAUUACAGUUUUGGGUACAACCCACUUUGAAGUGGGUUGAAGAGUCUGUUUCAACUAAAUUGAAGUUCAGGUACAAGCAGAAGGCGGUAUGUACGGUCCAGACAUCGCUGAUGAAAUAGAGAACGAGAGGCACGAUUUCUGUAAAACGAAUGGACCAAUUCUUAUAAAAACUUAACCAUAUAUUCUACACACAAAAAGACGGAAGGUGGACUACACAGAUGAGUUAUAAUUUGAGUUUUACCUAUUUUUUUCACUAAAUUCAGUGCAAAAAAAAAAGGAUUUUAUUUUUUAAAUUGUUUUUUAACUUUGACCUCCAUUUUGUUAUUUAUUGAUAAAAAUCAAUGUCCGUAGUUCAUCUUUUAGCUAUGGUCAUAUUGAAACUAAAACACUUUGAUUUUAUUGUUUUAGAUGAG